AGUCAGGGCUUGGACACGGCGUAGUGUCUGAGGGGUGACUCGGGCUGGGAUCGUGGGUGUCCAUGUGAGUCCAUGCAAAGACAACGAAGACCAUUCUUAAAUAACAGAGGAUUAUGCUGCCUAUGUGCUCUCGAGAUUGAGGAAGCCUACAAAGCCCCAAGGUUUAGCUAGACUAGAUGGUUGAAGACAGAACUCCAAGAUACGCAGUGUACGUUCUCAACGAGAUGAGCCACCAUGCAAAUCCACACCAUGACGCUCGAUCCUCAAGUUCCA